AACGAUUUUAACUUUAUUUUGUCCAUUUCACAACUAAAAGACUAGCAAAGGCUAGCAACAACGAAUUAGGAGGAGUAAAGACGGCAUAAGACCACCAUAAAACUUUGGCACACUCGCGUUCAAAUACACCAUUCAGUUGGCAGAUUUGUGUUAAUUGAAUGGCGGUUGGGCUUCCCACAAGCAAGAAAAUAACAACAACAAAAACAGGAUCAUCAACAGUACUUAUUUCACUGAAGUAUGAGAGUAAACUGAAAGCGGGUAAUAAUGCCAGAGGAACAACUACCAUACGGCCAAGAAGACACACAAUAAUUACUCGAGUAUCGUUAUUUUUACGGACUUCUUGAGUAGGUUCAGUUUUGGAAAUAUCAGUAGCAAGACUUGCUCCCAAAACUACCAAAAUCAUAGGAACAGCAACUUGACCAGCCAUUCGAAUACCACUGGUGAUGCUACCUUCAACGAACGAACCUUCUUCGAAGAAAAAGCGUUGCAGAGGAGGAACAACAGCAAUAAAUAAGGCGAUAAAUAAGGAGUAUAAAGGAGGGCUGAAGAAAUCUAACAGUAAAACAAUAAACUUCGAGAUCUUCGAAGAGGCUGCUCCAAACCCACCAACUUCUUCGUUAGAGGUUUCAACUUGAACGUUGUCAUUUUUGGAAAUCGCAGAAGAAUCAGUUUGAACAGUUGAGCCCUCAUUUGCCUGAACAGAAUUUUGAACCCCAUCUACAUUUGCACUAGAAGCCAACAAAUUCUGAAUUUCUUCUUCAUUAACAUCGCUAUGUGACCAAGAACGGUUACCGAUAGGUAGAGGGUCCUCCGGUUGAUUCGGAGAAAGGAGAAUACGAUAACCAUAGGACCAACGAAGAGCUUGACCUAACUGAGAGAAAAUAAGCAAAUACAUAAUACCGCGUGAAGCAACCUUAUCAGGUGUAUCAUCGGGAAUUUUGUCCCAUAGCAAAUCCUUUACAGUAGUAGCUAAAGAAGAUACCAAGGCCAAAGGUAAGGAAUUUGACUAAAGAGUUAGUAAACAAAAACAAACGAACAAUAUUCUUGCAGGUAAGGUACGUACGUUUUGAAACGUUAUGCAGGCAGUGGCGAAAUUCCUUUGGCGAGGUGUCAGUCGGAAGAGUUUUGCAAGUAAAAAUGAUAUCAGAAUAGAACUGAAAGUUAGCAAAGUGAAUGACUUAAAUACUUACGCUGCGGAGAUGAUAACAUAAAACACGGGUAAAAGAGAAAGAUCAAUCAGCAUCUUCAAAUUCAAACCGUUGCCAACUUUUUCAAAUACUAGACAAGGAGUAAAGAAAUAAACGUUCAGGCUGGAUAUUACCUGUGUAAAGUUAGUAAAAUACUAGAGAACGCAAAGAUAAAUGAAGAGAAGAAAUUUAAUAGUUGAAAAUUUAUUUCUUUAUUUCACUGCUCCAUUUUUCUUUAAAACGGGGGGUAAAAUGAAUCAUACCUUCUGAGCAUCUCUAGGAAGAAAGCCUUUUUUAGCUAAUACAUAACCACCCAAAGCGAUCACAAUAACUUCCAAGUCACUUUCGAUAAUGGGCCUUAGAAGGCUCCAAACAUUAAUUUGGCCAAGAGAAGAAAAGAAUCCCAUAAUUUUUCACUAAAUGACGGAUAAAAAGAUUGAAUCCUUAAGAAAACUUUUUCACUAGUUAAACCGAAUUCCACACAACAACAGGAAUCAAAUCAAGGAAAAGCAAAAAAAAAAAGAAAAAACCAAUAAGGUCGAUCAACAGUGAAACCGGUUAAAGUAUAACAAGAAAAAAAAGUAUUUCCUAUAAAUAAUAGGAUAAGAUUAUUAUGCGGUCUAUCAACAAAAGCUUCUCAAAAAACAGGAAUAAGGAGUAAUCACUCUAAAAGUAAAUUGAUCAAAAUGUUCCCAACAAAAGUCAAUUCAAAUGCCAGAAAUUUUCAAUCGUCAAAGUCUUUUCUCUGCAAACAGCAGAAUGAAAAGGGUAGGUUAAGCUGAAAGGCCUGUUUGUUUUCAAGGUAUAGGUUAGAACGACAAAAAUUCAAAGCCUCAAAGUCAGUAAACCGCGUGGAGAAACAUUGUUACUUAGAAUGGCAAACUGACGCAUGAAACUGAUAGGUAAAAAAAAGAUACACAGAAACAAUUAUUGAGGCUUUAUGAAAUACUUUCUUUACAAAUUAGGGAAAAAUAAGAUGCUUGUAAGGAGAAAUGAAAGAAGAAUUCGGCCAAUCCAUAAAUGAUCUCUAUAACGUAAUCAGACUUAGAUUUCGUUGUUUUAGGAUUUUUAAUAUUUACGGCAGAUCAAUUAAAAAAAUUACAUUAAUUUCGAA